GACGGGGGCCCGCACAAGCGGUGGAGUAUGUGGUUUAAUUUCGAUGCAACGCGAAGAACCUUACCAGGAUUUGACAUCCUGCGAACCUCUUAGAAAUUUGAGGGUGCCUUCGGGAACGCAGUGACAGGUGGUGCAUGGCUGUCGUCAGCUCGUGUCGUGAGAUGUUGGGUUAAGUCCCGCAACGAGCGCAACCCACGUUUUUAGUUGCCAGCAUUUAGUUGGGCACUCUAGAAAGACCGCCGGUGAUAAACCGGAGGAAGGUGUGGAUGACGUCAAGUCAUCAUGCCCCUUACAUCCUGGGCUACACACGUACUACAAUGCUACGGACAAAGGGCAGCAAACUCGCGAGAGCAAGCAAAUCCCAUAAACCGUGGCUCAGUUCAGAUCGUAGGCUGCAACUCGCCUACGUGAAGUAGGAAUCGCUAGUAAUCGCAGGUCAGCAUACUGCGGUGAAUACGUUCCCGGGCCUUGUACACACCGCCCGUCACACCAUGGAAGUUGGCCAUGCCCGAAGUCGUUACUCCAACCCUUGUGGAGGAGGACGCCGAAGGUGGGGCUAAUGACUGGGGUGAAGUCGUAACAAGGUAACC
rnacentral:rRNA from 2 species